AAUGUGCCCAUUCAAAGCUGCAGGUCUCCGGCAGGGCCCUGCUCCAUCUUGGGCUUCCCAUGGGGUCACAGUCUGCUUCAUGCAUCCACCUACUCCAGCAUGGGAUCCUCCAUGGGCUGCAGGGGCACAGCUGCUCCACCAUGGUCUGCACCAUGGGCUGCAGGGGCCUCAGCUCCAGCACCUGGAGUACCU